AGUCUAGUAGCUGCAUGCAAGCGUCGUCGUUGGACGACCUGAGCAUGCAUGUUCAUUAGGUAGCCGCAGCCGUACAUGGUUUAACAUACUCUAUGGUUAUAAUGCUGUAUGUAUGCAGGUCCAUAGUUAGACAAAAUUAAAUCAAAGGUUUUCUGAACCGGAGAUAUGUCGCCACUGUCGGACUGUGUCCAAGCAAGAUCCCUCAGAAAUCAAGGCAACUGUCGUGUCGGACUGUCCAAGCAAUUGAUCCCCUCGCUCGCGACAAGCGAAAGGCGUAUCUCGUGCCCA
rnacentral:lncRNA from 1 species